GCUAACAUAGGGCCAUCGGCCGGGGGAAGACGUAGGGUGCAAGGGGUAAUCGGAAUUACUGUGCGUAAAGCGGGCGCAGGCGGUGAUGCCAGACCGAUGUGAAAGCCCCGGGCUUAACCUGGGAACUGCAUUGGUGACUGCAUCGCUAGAGUAUGGCAGAGGGGGGUAGAAUUCCACGUGUAGCAGUAAAAUGCGUAGAGAUGUGGAGGAAUACCGAUGGCGAAGGCAGCCCCCUGGGCCAAUACUGACGCUCAUGCACGAAAGCGUGGGGAGCAAACAGGAUUAGAUACCCCAGUAGUC
rnacentral:rRNA from 1 species